rnacentral:lncRNA from 1 species
GCCACCUGAAUGCUGCCUUAUCACAAGCCAGAUACAUACUGGUCUGUAGGGUAACUCCCCACUGUUGAUCCUCUGAGAUGAUUGUGGACUGGGUGCUGUGAGUCCUGCCACUUUGUUUAAGUGAAUGUGUCUUUUGUCCAGCUCAGCCGCCUCGGAUCUCGCUGCCACCAGCCUUACUGCACACCCGUGCCACCCGCCCUUGCCCCGUCAGCCUCAGCCUCAGCUCAUUCUCUCAGGCAGUCCCAGCAUUGGCACGGUACCUCCUCCCGCUGUGGGCCACACGUCUCUGCUCCCUGUCAACCCUCCUGCCAUCAGCACCACCACCAGCGACUUGUCUGCCCGGGAGGAUGCAACACCAUCUGCCUCCACCGGCCACCUUUCAGUGUUUCCUGCUUUCCAAGUAAAGAUACCAGCAGUGCCCUCAGAGCAGACCAGCCAGAGUUUUUCUGAAGCCUCCCACAGGGUGCUCCCCGGAGGAGGCCCGAGAUGCUCUCGUGACUUUGGAGCCGGGGUGGCUGGCCACCUUGGCCUGGGCAUCUUUGGGGUGGGCUUCGGGAGCCCGGCACUGCUGCAGAGUGUGGUGGAUGAGAACAGCUGCUGCUUGCUGUACGUGGUGGAGGACCAGCUGUGUGAUGUGGAGCAAGCCUUCAGAGCUGAGCAUUUGGGCCAACACCAGAGUGGUUCGGGAACAGGAUGCAGACAUUGUCCUCAACGACCAGCGGCACUUUGAUCCGGUUUUCCAGUUCUUGCACAAGCAAGUUUGUGUCAGCCACGCCCUGGGGAGGAUCCACUGGAUCACCGCCGUCACUGCCUGUUCCCGGCGGCCUCUCCGGCUUCCCUAAAGAGAGCAGCUUCCCUCGAGACCAGAAGCCAGAGCUCACCCUCCCUUGUGUCCAGGUGGGACUUUCUACAACGCUGCUGUGCACGACGUGGAUGCCGUAUGCAUGUUGCUGGGGGAAGCCACUCCGGACACUGUGUUUUCUCUGGGACAUGUCUUCUGCCCAGAUAUGGCCGCCUUAAAAGAUGCAGAUGCUGUUGUGAUCAGCAUGAAGUUUCCCUGUGAGGCCGUGGUUAGCGUGGACAUCAGCCAGCACUGCACAGACAGCUGCGACCAGGACGUCAGCCAGCACUGCACAGACAGCUGCGACCAGAGACUGGAGGGAAAUAACCUCCUGAAAUCACCAAAGAGCAGUUCCUCAGGGCCUUCCGGGUGACCGUGGCCGUGGAGCAGUCGUGGUGAAACCGGUCAGCUGUGGACCUGCCCUGCGAAUCGGCAGAGGCCUCCGUGGUGAAGACAGAAGCUCCGUGAACCAACUCGAGGCUGGAGCCAAGAUCCUGCCUGAUAUCCAGUUGCCUGUUUCACUUGUUACUGUUACUGGGAGAGGGAGACAAAACCUCAUGGCAAUCUUGUCCUCACUGGAGACUCAGAAGGGGAAGCAUUGGGAAACCAUGUAUGUUUCAUUUCUGGUUUAACCAGGCUUUUCAGGAUGGGACUUCAGACCAAGGACACAAGUUGGGCUUGCUUAGGUGUUUUGUGUUGUGCGCAGGCCUCAGAGAUGCUCUUCCGGUCAGAGUUCCCUUGGCAGGGCCUUGGAGGCCUCUGGUUGGCUCUCUCAGGAAGAGGGCAGGUCAGGGAUUGGGCGGUGUAAAUUGACUCAGAAACCUGCGGUUUCAGCUUUUCUGUGGCAAACAGGGCCGAGGGCUGGUGAAGCUGUUAAGGCUAAAUGUCGCAUGCAUGAGGCGGGCUGCAGGCCUCCUUAGGCCUUUUUUGGGGUAAUUACACCAGUAUUUAAAAACAUUUUUUUUUGUUUGUUUUGAGAUGGAGUCUUGCCCUGUCACCCAGGCUGGAGUGCAAUGGUGCGAUCUCGGCUCACUGCAACCUCCGUCUCCCAGGUUCAAGCGAUUCUUCUGCCUCAGCCUUCUGAGUAGCUGGGAUUACACGCGUGUGCCACCACGCUCGGCUAAUUUUUGUAUUUUUAGUAGAGAUGGGAUUUCACCAUGUUGGCCAGGCUGGUCUCGAACUACUGACCUCGUGAUCCACCUGCCAUGGCCUCCCAAAGUGCUGGGAUUACAGGCGUGAGCCACCAUGCUCGGCCUAAAAAACAAUUUUCUUGAAGAAUCCGAUUUUGUGCAUAGUAAUGACACAGCACCAUUCCUGAGAAAUAGGAAAUAUAUGUGUGUGGUAUGAAAAGCCCAUAUUCUGUUCUUGUCACCUGAAUCUAGGCUUCCUCUUUGGAUGUGAACGCGGGAAUGAACAGUGGCUGUUUUCCACCCAAAGGGGCGUGGAGACCUUUUGGAAACGGGCUUUCUCCUUUCCAUUUUGCAGCCGGGGGCGGGUGGAAACCUUCCUUCGAAGGGUAGUGCCUUGGGGAGCAGCAGACCUGCUCUGAGUCCAGCUUAGCUUUCCAAAAUUCUGUGUGGAACUUACUGGAGAUGUUUUUAUAUAUUUGAAAAUAAUGGCCUGUAUUUCUCACGCUAUACUUAAAAAAAAUAACUAACCUUUUAAACAAAGAUAUUCAAACUCACCCUUGUGCUGAAAGCACUCACAUUUCUGUGUUCAUUCCUGAAAGGGCGUUUUAGAGUCCCCGUUUCUACGUUCUAUGUGGCACCCUCUUGCCGAGGGAACAUCCAGAAUCCCUCCACUUCCUGUCUAGUUUGAGGCCUCAACACCUUCAUGAUCCAGAGUCCUGCGGCUAUGAGGGGGUGGGCCCACCACCGCCCAGCCCUCCUUGGUGGACGUGGGGACAGGUUUUGCUGAGAAACGGGAGUGCGUUCUGUGUC